GAUGAACGCUGGCGGCGUGCCUAAUACAUGCAAGUCGAGCGAACGGACGAGAAGCUUGCUUCUCUGAUGUUAGCGGCGGACGGGUGAGUAACACGUGGAUAACCUACCUAUAAGACUGGGAUAACUUCGGGAAACCGGGUCUAAUACCGGAUGAUAUUUUGAACCGCAUGGUUCAAAAGUGAAAGACGGUCUUGCUGUCACUUAUAGAUGGAUCCGCGCUGCAUUAGCUAGUUGGUAAGGUAACGGCUUACCAAGGCAACGAUGCAUAGCCGACCUGAGAGGGUGAUCGGCCACACUGGAACUGAGACACGGUCCAGACUCCUACGGGAGGCAGCAGUAGGGAAUCUUCCGCAAUGGGCGAAGGCCUGACGGAGCAACGCCGCGUGAGUGAUGAAGGUCUUCGGAUCGUAAAACUCUGUUAUUAGGGAAGAACAUAUGUGUAAGUAACUGUGCACAUCUUGACGGUACCUAAUCAGAAAGCCACGGCUAACUACGUG
rnacentral:rRNA from 1 species